GCUCCUGUAGCUCAAUGGAUAGAGCAUCUCCCUUCUAAGGAGGCGAUGUGGGUUCGAUUCCCCCCAGGAGCG
rnacentral:tRNA from 1 species